CCUACGGGUGGCAGCAGUGGGGAAUAUUGGGCAAUGGGCGCAAGCCUGACCCAGCAACGCCGCGUGAAGGUAGAAGGCUUUCGGGUUGUAAACUUCUUUUGACAGGGAAGAGUAGAAGACAGUACCUGUCGAAUAAGCCACGGCUAACUACGUGCCAGCAGCCGCGGUAAUACGGAGGUGGCAAGAGUUGUCCGGAUUUACGGGUUGUAAGGGGCGUGUAGCCGGGUUGACAAGUCAGAUGUGAAAGCCUGCGGCUUAACGGCAGAACUGCCUUUGAAACUGUUGAUCUUGAGUACUGGAGAGGUAGACGGAAUGUCUAGUGUAGCGGUGAAAUGCGUAGAUAUUAGGAGGAACACCAGUGGCGAAGGCGGUCUGCUGGACAGCAAUUGACGGUGAGGCGCGAAAGCGUGGGGAGCAAACAGGAUUAGAUACCCCAGUAGUC
rnacentral:rRNA from 1 species